AGAAUCAACGCUGGCGGCGUGCCUAACACAUGCAAGUCGAACGAGAAAGGGUAGCAAUACCUGAGUAAAGUGGCGCACGGGUGAGUAACACGUGACUAACCUACCUUUUAGUGGGGGAUAACCUAGGGAAACCUGGGCUAAUACCGCAUAAUACCUACGGGUCAAAGCAGCAAUGCGCUGGGAGAGGGGGUCGCGGCCGAUUAGCUAGUUGGCGGGGUAAUGGCCCACCAAGGCAGUGAUCGGUA
rnacentral:rRNA from 1 species